GAUGAACGCUGGCGGCGUGCCUAAUACAUGCAAGUCGAGCGAACGGACGAGAAGCUUGCUUCUCUGAUGUUAGCGGCGGACGGGUGAGUAACGCGUGGAUAACCUACCUAUAAGACUGGGAUAACUUCGGGAAACCGGAGCUAAUACCGGAUAAUAUUUUGAACCGCAUGGUUCAAAGGUGAAAGACGGUCUUGCUGUCACUUAUAGAUGGAUCCGCGCUGCAUUAGCUAGUUGGUAAGGUAACGGCUUACCAAGGCAACGAUGCAUAGCCGACCUGAGAGGGUGAUCGGCCACACUGGAACUGAGACACGGUCCAGACUCCUACGGGAGGCAGCAGUAGGGAAUCUUCCGCAAUGGGCGAAAGCCUGACGGAGCAACGCCGCGUGAGUGAUGAAGGUCUUCGGAUCGUAAAACUCUGUUAUUAGGGAAGAACAUAUGUGUAAGUAACUGUGCACAUCUUGACGGUACCUAAUCAGAAAGCCACGGCUAACUACGUGCCAGCAGCCGCGGUAAUACGUAGGUGGCAAGCGUUAUCCGGAAUUAUUGGGCGUAAAGCGCGCGUAGGCGGUUUUUUAAGUCUGAUGUGAAAGCCCACGGCUCAACCGUGGAGGGUCAUUGGAAACUGGAAAACUUGAGUGCAGAAGAGGAAAGUGGAAUUCCAUGUGUAGCGGUGAAAUGCGCAGAGAUAUGGAGGAACACCAGUGGCGAAGGCGACUUUCUGGUCUGUAACUGACGCUGAUGUGCGAAAGCGUGGGGAUCAAACAGGAUUAGAUACCCUGGUAGUCCACGCCGUAAACGAUGAGUGCUAAGUGUUAGGGGGUUUCCGCCCCUUAGUGCUGCAGCUAACGCAUUAAGCACUCCGCCUGGGGAGUACGACCGCAAGGUUGAAACUCAAAGGAAUUGACGGGGACCCGCACAAGCGGUGGAGCAUGUGGUUUAAUUCGAAGCAACGCGAAGAACCUUACCAAAUCUUGACAUCCUUUGACAACUCUAGAGAUAGAGCCUUCCCCUUCGGGGGGGCAAAGUGACAGGUGGUGCAUGGUUGUCGUCAGCUCGUGUCGUGAGAUGUUGGGUUAAGUCCCGCAACGAGCGCAACCCUUAAGCUUAGUUGCCAUCAUUAAGUUGGGCACUCUAAGUUGACUGCCGGUGACAAACCGGAGGAAGGUGGGGAUGACGUCAAAUCAUCAUGCCCCUUAUGAUUUGGGCUACACACGUGCUACAAUGGACAAUACAAAGGGCAGCGAAACCGCGAGGUCAAGCAAAUCCCAUAAAGUUGUUCUCAGUUCGGAUUGUAGUCUGCAACUCGACUACAUGAAGCUGGAAUCGCUAGUAAUCGUAGAUCAGCAUGCUACGGUGAAUACGUUCCCGGGUCU
rnacentral:rRNA from 1 species